rnacentral:sRNA from 1 species
GCUGAGUGCAGUGGUGCACACCUGUAAUCCUAGCAGCUUGGGAGGCUGAGGCAGGGGGAUCUUGAGUUCAAAGCCAGCCUCAGCAAAAGUGAGGCACUAAUCAACUAAUCAAGACCCUGUCUCUA